rnacentral:rRNA from 1 species
GAUGAACGCUAGCGGCAGGCUUAAUACAUGCAAGUCGAGGGGCAGCAGUUUUGUAGCAAUACAGAAGCUGGCGACCGGCAAACGGGUGCGGAACACGUACGCAACCUUCCUUUAACUGGGAGAUAGCCCACCGAAAGGUGGAUUAAUAUCCCAUAGUAUAUUUGAGUGGCAUCACUUAGAUAUCAAAGCUCCGGCGGUUAAAGAUGGGCGUGCGUCUGAUUAGGUAGUUGGCGGGGUAACGGCCCACCAAGCCCACGAUCAGUAGCUGAUGUGAGAGCAUGAUCAGCCACACGGGCACUGAGACACGGGCCCGACUCCUACGGGAGGCAGCAGUAAGGAAUAUUGGUCAAUGGACGCAAGUCUGAACCAGCCAUGCCGCGUGGAGGAUGAAGGUCCUCUGGAUUGUAAACUUCUUUUCUUUGGGACGAAACCCCUGUUUCUACGGGGACUGACGGUACCAGAGGAAUAAGCACCGGCUAACUCCGUGCCAGCAGCCGCAGUAAAAC